GACGAACGCUGGCGGCGUGCUUAACACAUGCAAGUCGAACGGUAAGGCCCUUCGGGGUACACGAGUGGCGAACGGGUGAGUAACACGUGGGUGAUCUGCCCUGCACUUCGGGAUAAGCCUGGGAAACUGGGUCUAAUACCGGAUAGGACCCUGGGAUGCAUGUCCUGGGGGGGAAAGCUUUUGCGGUGGGGGAUGGGCCCGCGGCCUAUCAGCUUGUUGGUGGGGUGAUGGCCUACCAAGGCGACGACGGGUAGCCGGCCUGAGAGGGUGACCGGCCACACUGGGACUGAGAUACGGCGCAGACUCCUAAGGGAGGCAGCAGUGGGGAAUAUUGCACAAUGGGCGCAAGCCUGAUGCAGCGACGCCGCGUGAGGGAUGACGGCCUUCGGGUUGUAAACCUCUUUCAGCACCGACGAAGCGCAAGUGACGGUAGGUGCAGAAGAAGGACCGGCCAACUACGUGCCAGCCGCCGCGGUAA
rnacentral:rRNA from 1 species